rnacentral:misc_RNA from 1 species
GAUGAAGAACGUAGCGAAAUGCGAUACUUGGGGUGAAUUGCAGAAUCCCGUGAACCAUCGAGUCUUUGAACGCAAGUUGCGCCUCAAGCCAUUAGGUUGAGGGCACGUCUGCCUGGGCGUCACAUAUCGUUGCCUGAUGCCAGUUUCCUCGUGAUGGGUGACUGUGCAGGGCGAAUGAUGGCUUCCCGUGAGCAUUGUUGCCUCAUGGUUGGUUGAAAAUUGAGUCCUUGGUAGGGAGCGCCGUGAUAGAUGGUGGUUGAGUGACGAACGAGACCCAAUCAUGUGAGACCCCUACCGAAUUUGGCCUUCAUGACCCACAUGCGUCUUUGGAACGCUCAUGACGAGACCUCAGGUCAGGCGGGGCUACCCGCUGAGUUUAAGCAUAUCAAUAAGCGGAGGA